AUUGAACGCUGGCGGCAUGCCUUACACAUGCAAGUCGAACGGUAACAGGUCUUCGGAUGCUGACGAGUGGCGAACGGGUGAGUAAUACAUCGGAACGUGCCUAGUAGUGGGGGAUAACUACUCGAAAGAGUGGCUAAUACCGCAUGAGAUCUACGGAUGAAAGCAGGGGAUCGCAAGACCUUGUGCUACUAGAGCGGCCGAUGGCAGAUUAGGUAGUUGGUGGGAUAAAAGCUUACCAAGCCGACGAUCUGUAGCUGGUCUGAGAGGACGAUCGGCCACACUGGGACUGAGACACGGCCCAGACUCCUACGGGAGGCAGCAGUGGGGAAUUUUGGACAAUGGGCGCAAGCCUGAUUCAGCAAUGCCGCGUGCAGGAUGAAGGCCUUCGGGUUGUAAACUGCUUUUGUACGGAACGAAAAGCCCCGGGUUAAUACCCUGGGGUCAUGACGGUACCCGCAGAAGAAGCCCCGGCUAACUUCGUGCCAGCCGCCGCAGUAA
rnacentral:rRNA from 1 species